rnacentral:rRNA from 1 species
UACAGAGGGUGCAAGCGUUAAUCGGAAUUACUGGGCGUAAAGCGUGCGUAGACGGGAGCGUAAGUCAGAUGUGAAAGCCCCGGGCUCAACCUGGGAACUGCAUUUGAGACUGCUCUGCUCGGGUGCGGAAGAGGGAAGCGGAAUUUCCGGUGUAGCGGUGAAAUGCGUAGAUAUCGGAAGGAACACCAGUGGCGAAAGCGGCUUCCUGGUCCGACACCGACGUUCAGGCACGAAAGCGUGGGGAGCAAACAGG